rnacentral:rRNA from 1 species
CGCGCAGGCGGGUUGACAAGUCAGAGGUGGAAUCCUACAGCUUAACUGUAGAACUGCCUUUGAGACUGUCAAUCUUGAGUACGGAAGAGAGAGAUGGAAUUCCAGGUGUAGUGGUGAAAUACGUAGAUAUCUGGAAGAACACCAGUGGCGAAGGCGAUCUCUUGGUCCAUUACUGACGCUGAGGCGCGAAAGCGUGGGGAGCAAACAGGAUUAGAUACCCUGGUAGUCC